CAUUUCCACUGUGGCGUUCGAAAAGUAUUGACGUAAAUUAUUAUCAGCUCUGUAAUAAUUCAAAAUGUCUUUCAAAAUAACCAAAAAGAUUAAGAAAUUCUUGCCUCGAGUAAUACAUCCAAAAGCCGUAAAACAAGAUGCUCAAUUUAUCAGCAUUAUUGGUACCUGUGCGAUUGUUUGCCUGCUAGUAUUGCCGUUCUUUUUAAAGAGCCAUACGACAGUUCUGGCUAAAACGCAUUACAAACAAAUAACUAUUGCAGCUUGUACUACAUAAAUCACGCUACAUCACACAAAAGAAAAAUUAUUUGGUCCAUUAUCAGUGAACCCGUCAAAAUUAGUUGGCUUUAGGAUACCGAAGACUGCGCAGUCAUCGAGUGAAAAAUCAGAGUGCGAAUUUAAUACAAAUGUAUUCAGAAAACCGUGUGAUUUAUGUUGUUAUUAAAUGUUAUUCAAUUUUA